rnacentral:rRNA from 1 species
GACGAACGCUGGCGGCGUGCUUAACACAUGCCAGUCGAACGGAAAGGCCCUGCUUUUGUGGGGUGCUCGAGUGGCGAACGGGUGAGUAACACGUGAGUAACCUGCCCUUGACUUUGGGAUAACUUCAGGAAACUGGGGCUAAUACCGGAUAGGAGCUCCUGCUGCAUGGUGGGGGUUGGAAAGUUUCGGCGGUUGGGGAUGGACUCGCGGCUUAUCAGCUUGUUGGUGGGGUAGUGGCUUACCCAGGCUUUGACGGGUAGCCGGCCUGAGAGGGUGACCGGCCACAAUGGGACUGAGAUACGGCCCAGACUCCAACGGGAGGCAGCAGUGGGGAAUAUGGCACAAUGGGCGGAAGCCUGAUGCAGCAACGCCGCGUGCGGGAUGACGGCCUUCGGGUUGUAAACCGCUUUCGCCUGUGACGAAGCGUGAGUGACGGUAAUGGGUAAAGAAGCACCGGCUAACUACGUG